UCCUUAUUUCUUGAGUUUAAUUUUUUGCAUAAAAAAUAAAAUAAAAUAAAAAGUAGCUUCUGGUUAAGGAAUAUGGUUGCUUGGUAGCAGCGUCGCCUGAGCUUCCCUCUAGAUUGAAAGUGCGAGACCGUGGGUUCUCCAUGUUCGCCAAUGGGCCAAUGUCCAGUUAUCGUGACAGUUAAACUGACUUUAUCUUUCCUUGACCUCUUUAGAAGUUCCUCUAUCUUUGGUUGUAGAUGCAGUUCCCUUUUGAUGAGUCCGAGUGGACGGUUUAAUGUCUCAGCUUCGGAUUCAUCAAGAGAUGCCCCGGCCUUAGUCAACUCGUCGGCCCUCUCAUUUCUAUGUAUGUAUGUUAUAUGGCCGGGAACACAGAUGAGAGAUUCCUAUUGACUCGGCCGUCGAGCUUAACGUGCACUUGCAAUCUUACUGUGUUAGGCACGGUGCACAUUAGAGCGAUACGAUGCGCGAUGCGAUAUGAAAGCGACAUCGAGAUGCGCGUAGUGCACACUAGACCGAUGCGACACGCAAUACCAUGGGCGGUGGGAUAGUAAACCGUGUCGUACGUCCGAUACGCAUGCGAUAUUAUAUCGCAGCAGUGUCGCACGGCCGAUACGCAUGCGAUAUUAUAAGGCAACUUCCCCUGAAAGUUUUUUCUGAACUCUAUCGUAGGAGUGGUAUAGUCUGAUUGUUUCUCGGAUUCGUUAAGCUUUCAGCGCUUUCUAGUAGCCUGACGCUUUGGGGCUGAUUUCAGAAAGCGCAGGCAUUUUUCUUAAGGACGCUUACAGGUGUGGAUUCUUUAAAAGGCUAUAGCUAGAAGUUUUCCAGUUUACCUAUCGUGUUAUCCAGCACUACAGCAGUUUUAAUCCGACACGAAUGUUUCAAUGGAUACUCUCCAGUCAUCUACGACAAUACCAUCUAUUGUCAGGGUUAAGUCCAGCACUCCAUCCCAUCCAGAAAAUCUUUGGGUGCUGGACAUAUGAAGGUAAUAUAAAAUGUAAGCGAUGAAGUGUUCUACCUCGUUAGGGGGCGGCCCUGUCAUGAACCAGGUGGGCAGCUGCCAGGAAGAGGUUUUGAUGCCCUUCCAUCUCCACCUUUUUUGAUUAGAAUGCUCGGUCACGGUUUACCUAUAGAAGAUGUUAUAUGUGCUGAUUUUAAAUCUGUGGAUCGGAUCAUCAUAUCUUAUCCACGGCUCUUGGAUUAGGGUGAUGUCGAUGCUUCCCUCUCCUGGAAGGAUUGACAGAUUAUUGUUAUAUUGAGUGCUGCAGAUUAAUGCACUUCACCAGCGUCGGAGUCUGCAUCGACAUUGACGUCUUUCAGCAACAGGCUCCCAUCAUCGACCUCCUUAGGUUCGUUUUCAUUAGAAGCCUUGUCGCCUUGAAAGAUUUUCAUCUUGGCCAUGCGGAUGCCAAAGCGAAUUUUGCUGUCCCCAUUUGACAGUGCCUCAAUGGUCUGCUGGUCCUGUUGAGCUGUUCAACUUUUAUAAGUUGCCAGUCUGCUAUACACUGCACGUGUUUAUUCUGAUGCAUUAGGCACCUCAGCAGCUUCUCGUCUGGUUCCUCCAGAGAAGCAAACAAGAUACGCGCACGUGGCCUAUGAGGGACGUGCUUAGCUGGAAUCAGCCUUAGUUUAAAGUCGACGAGUGUUUCGCUCAUUUUAGCGACGCAGUCAGCGAUCUGAUAACCAUGAAUCCUCGGAAGGAUCCAGAGGAAUCAAAUUCCGGAUCUGGACCCGCGGUUUAUCGAGAACGUAGUCCAUAACGAGACUCGAUAACUUGACGUCUAUCCCCACCCAGGGCCACGGUAUGGAUACCGGUACUUUUGAGUUGUCCAAAAUGGCCAUCAAUAAGCUACUUUGGCAACGUCAGUGGCAUUGCAGUGAGCAUGAUCAGACAAAGUAGCCUGUUUAGGCUUCUUGAUCUCUUCGCAGGUACAGCUGUCGUUUGUGGUUAAGGAAUAUACUAAGAUUAAGACUAAACCUACGGCAAAUCCAAAGACAACGACAAAUAAGAUAACGAUGGGGAGGCCGAACACGAAAGCGAACACGCAUACGAAGGUGAUCACGAAAACGACAGCCUCAGUAGUGUGUGCUCUGUUAUGAAAUGAACAUAUGAAAUUUUGUUUUCUACCAACUCACCUUUUCAGCUCACUUGUUUUCAAUGAACUAAGCCAAUAAACUCAAUACACAGCGAUAUACACGAGUCAGCAUAAAGCCAAAGACGAAUACCAUAACGAUGGAAAAGCCGAACACGAAUACAAAGAUGGUUACAAAGGCGAACAUGAAAGCGAUCACGAGGCGAAGGUGACGACGAGGGAAACGAAAAUUAACACGAAGACGCAUACGAAUGAAAAUGCGAACACGAAUACGAAGUUGUGUAUGAAUUCGAACUAAUAAUAAUUAUAUUUACCAUUGCAAUUACGAACACAAAACGACGAUUGGCAU